GGUCAGUAGGUUGGUCGUGCCACCGGUACGUACUGGUCUCACUGAUUCCUCCUUCCUGAAGAACCGUAAUGCCAUUAAUUUGGUGUGGCGGGGAAACAGGACUGUUACUUUGAAAAAAUUAGAGUGUUUAAAGCAAGCUAACGCUUGAAUACAUUAACAUGGAAUAAUGAAAUAGGACGAUCGAUCCUAUUUUGUUGGUUUCUAGGAUUGACGUA
rnacentral:rRNA from 1 species